AUUUAUAUGAUGAUUUGAUACUGCCCCAGUCUGAAGGCUAUGAAGAUCAGUUAUUCUGAUUAUCA